rnacentral:rRNA from 1 species
CCUACGGGGGGCAGCAGUGGGGGAUAUUGCACAAUGGGGGAAACCCUGAUGCAGCGACGCCGCGUGAGGGAAGAAGGGCCUCGGCUCGUAAAGCUCUGUCAGCAGGGAAGAAAAUGACGGUACCUGAAGAAGAAGCCCCGGCUAACUACGUGCCAGCAGCCGCGGUAAUACGUAGGGGGCACGCGUUGUCCGGCGUUACUGGGUGUAAAGGGGGCGGAGGCGGGGAUGCAAGCCAGGAGUGAAAGCCCGGGGCCCAACCCCGGGACUGCUCUUGGAACUGCGUGGCUGGAGUGCAGGAGGGGCAGGCGGAAUUCCUGGUGUAGCGGUGAAAUGCGUAGAUAUCAGGAGGAACACCGGUGGCGAAGGCGGCCUGCUGGACUGUAACUGACGUUGAGGCCCGAAAGCGUGGGGAGCAAACAGGAUUAGAUACCCGAGUAGUC